GAAAGUUUCAGAAAUUUGAGGAGAUUAGGAGAGAAUUUGUAUCAGCAGAGUCAAGGUUGUUCACUCUUGGGAAUACAUGAUACACCAACAUUACAGGCAAAGGAAAGACUUUUUCUUGAUUGAAAAUGGCAGAUUUUAAACAUGUCAAAGGUUAUAUCACAGUGGAAGUUUACAAGGAUGGUUCUCUAGAGGUUGUGGAUAGAUUUCUCGAUUUAUGGUUUUAUUCGGAAUCUUAUCAAGAUGAAGCAACUAAUUGAUGCUGUUAGAUGCAUUUGCAUCUUGCAGUUAAUUAACAAGUUCUGCCAAAAAAAAAAAAGAAUUUAUCCAACCUCUGUAAGAUUAAAAGCACAGAACUCAGGAUAUUAACCAAAGAACAAAAAAAACUAAACUUUCAAUCUAAAC